rnacentral:rRNA from 1 species
UACGGGGGGGGCAAGCGUUGCCCGGAUUUAUUGGGCGUAAAGAGCGUGUAGGCGGUUCGGUAAGUCUGUCGUGAAAUCCUGAGGCUCAACCUUGGACGUGCGAUGGAUACUGCCGGGCUAGAGGAUGGUAGAGGCGAGUGGAAUUCCCGGUGUAGCGGUGAAAUGCGCAGAUAUCGGGAGGAACACCAGUAGCGAAGGCGGCUCGCUGGGCCAUUCCUGACGCUGAGACGCGAAAGCUAGGGGAGCGAACAGG